CAGAGUGGGGCAGGUUACAGUCUGAAAUAAAGGGCUCUGAGAGCUGGGGUACAGCUCUUUGGAAAUCUGUGCAAUCCAGGCAUGGGAACAACCAUAACUCAUACACUGUGCAGGAGAGUGCAUGGGGUGUGAUGUGUGAGGAACACUGGGAGAUUGAGCAGCAAGGCCAAAAGCUGGCCGGGGAGAUACAGUCAGGGGGGUGAUAGGGAAUUAUGAAGGUCCUGAUGUCUCUGGUUUUCCCUUGGGGAGGAAGUACUCCAGGGUUCUGAGCAGGGAAUGGGAGGAUCUGACUCAUGUAUUCACAGGCUGAUGUGUGCAGAACAGACUGAAGGCAUCAGGGGCAGCAAGAGGAGACCAGGAGGCAGCUGUGACAUUGCACUCAAGAGAAAUGGUGGCAGUUUGGACUCAGUGAAAGGUAUCCUGCUGUCCAUCGGCCCGCAGCUAGUCUAUCCACCCAACCGCCCAUCAGACCUCCGGCCCACCCUCCCAGACGGAGGACAAUGCUCCGCCCUCUCUGGCCCCGCCCCCAGUCACC
rnacentral:lncRNA from 1 species